ACAGAUACCAUAUUUUGUGGGAAAGGUUUCGAAAUAUUGGAUUGGCAUUUUACCAAUGGCUGACCAAAUGCCACACCAUGUUCAACAGGAAUACACUUGGGACCCUGUAUGGAUGCUUGUAAAAGAGCUGGUUGGUCCACUGUUGUAACUAGGCUACCUGCUGGUCGACCAAGAAGCUCUGCAUGCAGUGCUGCCAAUGUUUGUGGAGGAAUCUGACCUGAGGCAGCCAAAGCCUGAAUGUCAAAUCUUCCAAGUGCAUUAAGUUUUACAUUUGAGUCCAAGGGGCCACAGAAUGCAUUAGAAAUCCCGCCUUGUUGAGAGACCCCACUUAAUCUCUUCAGAUAUAGUCUAAACUUCUGCAAAUGACUUGCAAC
rnacentral:misc_RNA from 1 species